AACGAACGCUGGCGGCAUGCCUAACACAUGCAAGUCGAACGAGACCUUCGGGUCUAGUGGCGCACGGGUGCGUAACGCGUGGGAACCUGCCCUUAGGUUCGGAAUAACUCCCCGAAAGGGGUGCUAAUACCGGAUAAUGUCUUCGGACCCAAGAUUUAUCGCCUUUGGAUGGGCCCGCGUUGGAUUAGCUAGUUGGUAGGGUAAAAGCCUACCAAGGCGACGAUCCAUAGCUGGUCUGAGAGGAUGAUCAGCCACACUUGGACUGAGACACGGCCCAGACUCCUACGCGAGGCAGCAGUGGGGAAUAUUGGACAAUGGGCGAAAGCCUGAUCCAGCAAUGCCGCGUGAGUGAUGAAGGCCUUAGGGUUGUAAAGCUCUUUUACCCGGGAUGAUAAUGACAGUACCGGGAGAAUAAGCUCCGGCUAACUCCGUG
rnacentral:rRNA from 1 species